rfam:Oreochromis niloticus linkage group LG10, whole genome shotgun sequence.
GGUUCCAUAGUGUAGUGGUUAUCACAUCUGCUUUACACGCCAAAAGUUCUGGGUUCAAUCCCCGGUGGACUCA